GACGAACGCUGGCGGCGUGCUUAACACAUGCAAGUCGAACGGUAAGGCCCUUCGGGGUACACGAGUGGCGAACGGGUGAGUAACGCGUGAGUAACCUGCCCUUCACUCUGGGAUAACAGUUGGAAACGGCUGCUAAUACCGGAUAUUCAGCUCCUGUCGCAUGGUGGGGGUUGGAAAGUUUUGGUGGUGGAGGAUGGGCUCGCGUCCUAUCAGCUUGUUGGUGGGGUGAUGGCCUACCAAGGCAUCGACGGGUAGCCGGCCUGAGAGGGCGACCGGCCACAUUGGGACUGAGAUACGGCCCAAACUCCUACGGGAGGCAGCAGUGGGGAAUAUUGCACAAUGGGCGGAAGCCUGAUGCAGCAACGCCGCGUGCGGGAUGACGGCCUUCGGGUUGUAAACCGCUUUCAGCAGGGACGAAGCGCAAGUGACGGUACCUGCAGAAGAAGCACCGGCUAACUACGUG
rnacentral:rRNA from 1 species